CCUGUAUCAAUUGUAUCCGAUAGGGGUAGCCAAUUUAUUUCCAGAUUCUGGAGAGCUUUUUGUUCAGAGAUGGGUAUUUCUCUCUCGUUUUCCUCCGCUUACCACCCCCAGUCUAAUGGAGCUGCUGAACCUGCCAAACCAGUCCCUAGAGCAGUAUCUUCGUUGUUUCGUAUCCCACCAUCAGAACAAUUGGGCUGACCUGCUUCCUUGGGCUGAAUUUGCUUGUAAU